GAUGAACGCUGGCGGCGUGCUUAACACAUGCAAGUCGAACGGGGAACAAAUUAUUGAAGCUUCGGCAGAUCUAGCUUGUUCCUAGUGGCGGACGGGUGAGUAACGCGUGGGUAACCUGCCUCGCACUGGGGGAUAACAGUCAGAAAUGGCUGCUAAUACCGCAUAAGCGCACAGUACCGCAUGGUACAGCGUGAAAAACUCCGGUGGUGUGAGAUGGACCCGCGUUGGAUUAGCUAGUUGGCAGGGCAGCGGCCUACCAAGGCGACGAUCCAUAGCCGGCCUGAGAGGGUGAACGGCCACAUUGGGACUGAGACACGGCCCAGACUCCUACGGGAGGCAGCAGUGGGGAAUAUUGCACAAUGGGGGAAACCCUGAUGCAGCGACGCCGCGUGAAGGAAGAAGUAUCUCGGUAU
rnacentral:rRNA from 1 species